rnacentral:rRNA from 1 species
GUGCCAGCCGCCGCGGUAAUACGUAGGGUGCGAGCGUUAAUCGGAAUUACUGGGCGUAAAGCGUGCGCAGGCGGUUUUGUAAGACAGAUGUGAAAUCCCCGGGCUUAACCUGGGAACUGCGUUUGUGACUGCAAGACUUGAGUGCGGCAGAGGGGGGUGGAAUUCCACGUGUAGCAGUGAAAUGCGUAGAGAUGUGGAGGAACACCGAUGGCGAAGGCAGCCCCCUGGGUCGACACUGACGCUCAUGCACGAAAGCGUGGGUAGCAAACAGGAUUAGAUACCCGGGUAGUCC